rnacentral:rRNA from 1 species
UACGUAGGGGGCUAGCGUUGUCCGGAAUCAUUGGGCGUAAAGAGCGUGUAGGCGGCCCGGUAAGUCCGCUGUGAAAGUCGGGGGCUCAACCCUCGAAUGCCGGUGGAUACUGUCGGGCUAGAGUGCGGAAGAGGCGAGUGGAAUUCCUGGUGUAGCGGUGAAAUGCGCAGAUAUCAGGAGGAACACCAAUUGCGAAGGCAGCUCGCUGGGACGUAACUGACGCUGAGACGCGAAAGCUAGGGGAGCAAACGGG